rnacentral:rRNA from 1 species
AGCGAACGUUAGCGGCGCGCUUAACACAUGCAAGUCGCACGAGAAAGGGCUUCGGCCCCGGUAAAGUGGCGCACGGGUGCGUAACACGUAGGCAAUCUUCCCUUGAGCGGGGGAUAACGUUUCGAAAGAGACGCUAAUACCGCAUAAGACCACGACCGGUUCGCCGGUUGCGGUCAAAGCUGGCCUCUUCUUGAAAGCUAGCACUUAAGGACGAGCCUGCGGCCCAUCAUGCUAGUUGGAGUGUAAUGGACUACCAAGGCGAAGACGGGUAGCUGGUCUGAGAGGAUGAUCAGCCACACUGGAACUGAAACACGGUCCAGACUCCUACGGGAGGCAGCGGUGGGGAAUAUUGGACAAUGGGCGAAAGCCUGAUCCAGCGACGCCGCGUGAGUGAUGAAGGCC